GAUGAAGAACGUAGCGAAAUGCGAUAAGUAGUGUGAAUUGCAGAAUUCAGUGAAUCAUCGAAUCUUUGAACGCACAUUGCGCCCUUUGGUAUUCCAAAGGGCAUGCCUGGUCGAGCGUCAUUUGUACCCUCAAGCUUUGCUUGGUGUUGGGCGUCUUGUCUCUAGCUUUGCUGGAGACUCGCCUUAAAGUAAUUGGCAGCCGGCCUACUGGUUUCGGAGCGCAGCACAAGUCGCACUCUCUAUCAGCAAAGGUCUAGCAUCCACUAAGCCUUUUUUUCAACUUUUGACCUCGGAUCAGGUAGGGAUACCCGCUGAACUUAAGCAUAUCAAUAAGCGGAGGA
rnacentral:misc_RNA from 1 species